rnacentral:rRNA from 1 species
GAUGAACGCUGGCGGCGUGCUUAACACAUGCAAGUCGAACGAUGAAGCCCAGCUUGCUGGGUGUACUAGUGGCGAACGGGUGAGUAACACGUGAGUAACCCGCCCUUGACUCUUUGAUAUGCCUUGGAAACUGGGUCUAAUACUGCAUAUGACAUCUCCUCGCACGGUGUGGGGUGGGGAGAUUUGGUGGUCUUGGAUGGACUCGCGGCGUAUCAGCUUGUUGGUGGGGUAGUGGCUCACCAAGGCGACGACGGGUAGCCGGCCUGAGAGGGUGACCGGCCACACUGGGACUGAGAGACGGCCCAGACUCCUACGGGAGGCAGCAGUGGGGAAUAUUGCACAAUGGGCGGAAGCCUGAUGCAGCGACGCCGCGUGAGGGAUGACGGCCUUCGGGUUGUAAACCUCUUUCGGUAGGGAAGAAGCGUGAGUGACGGUAACUGGAGAAGAAGCACCGGCUAACUACGUG